rnacentral:rRNA from 1 species
UACGGGGGGGGCAAGCGUUGUUCGGAAUUACUGGGCGUAAAGGGCUCGUAGGCGGCCAACUAAGUCAGACGUGAAAUCCCUCGGCUUAACCGGGGAACUGCGUCUGAUACUGGAUGGCUUGAGUUUGGGAGAGGGAUGCGGAAUUCCAGGUGUAGCGGUGAAAUGCGCAGAUAUCAGGAAGAAUAUCCGUGGCGAAGGCGGCUCUCUGGUACGGCACUGACGCUGAGACGCGAAAGCGUGGGGAGCAAACAGG